GUGUCAGCAGCCGCGGUAAGACAGAGGUGCCAAGCGUUAGGCGGAAUCACUGGGCUUAAAGCGUGUGUAGGCGGAUUCCUAAGUACCUUGUGAAAUCCCCCGGCUCAACCGGGGAACUGCUGGGUAUACUGGGUGUCUUGAGCCAACUAGGGGCUGCCGGAACAAGUGGUGGAGCGGUGAAAUGCGUAGAUAUCACUUGGAACGCCAACGGUGAAAACAGGCAGCUGGGGUUGUGCUGACGCUGAGACACGAAAGCCAGGGGAGCAAACGGGAUUAGAAACCCCGGUAGUCC
rnacentral:rRNA from 1 species